AAGGACCUGAACAGACACUUCUCGAAAGAAGACAUUUAUGCAGCCAAAACACACAUGAAAAAAUGCUCACCAUCACUGGCCAUCAGAGAAAUGCAAAUCAAAACCACAAUGGGAUAUCAUCUUACACCAGUUAGAAUGGCAAUCAUUAAAAAGUCAGGAAACAACAGGUGCUGGAGAGGAUGUGGAGAAAUAGGAACACUUUUACACUGUUGGUGGGACUGUAAACUAGUUAACCAUUGUGGAAGUCAGUGUGGCGAUUCCUCAGGGA
rnacentral:lncRNA from 10 species